rnacentral:misc_RNA from 1 species
UCCUCCGUUUCACAAUAUAAGUCAUUCUAGGUUUUCCUAUAUUCAUAUUGAUGUUAAUGAAUAUAUAUAUAUAUAUAUAUAUAUAUAUAUAUAUAUAUAUAUAUAUAUAUAUAUUCAUUAACAUCAAUAUGAAUGUGGGAAAUGUUAGAAUGACUUACAUUGUGAAACGGAAGGAGUACU